AGGCGCGUAGCUCAGUUGGUAGAGCGCUACCAUGACAUGGUAGAUGUCAGCAGUUCGAAUCUGCUCGUGCCUA
rnacentral:tRNA from 1 species